AAAACCCCGCAAGGGGUUAGUAGAGUGGCAAACGGGUGAGUAACGCGUGGGUGACCUGCCUUCGAGUGGGGGAUAACGUUCCGAAAGGGACGCUAAUACCGCAUGACAUCCUGCCUUUCAAGAGGUGGAGAUCAAAGCUGGGGAUCGCAAGACCUAGCACUCGAAGAGGGGCCCGCGUCCGAUUAGCUAGUUGGUGAGGUAACGGCUCACCAAGGCAACGAUCGGUAGCCGGCCUGAGAGGGCGGACGGCCACACUGGGACUGAGACACGGCCCAGACUCCUACGGGAGGCAGCAGUGGGGAAUUGUUCGCAAUGGGCGCAAGCCUGACGACGCAACGCCGCGUGGAGGAUGAAGAUCUUCGGGUCGUAAACUCCUUUCGAUCGAGACGAAUUCCUCCGGGGUGAAUAAUCCCGGAGGUUGACGGUACCGAGAGAAGAAGCCCCGGCUAACUCCGUGCCAGCAGCCGCGGUAAUACGGGGGGGGCAAGCGUUGUUCGGAAUUACUGGGCGUAAAGGGCUCGUAGGCGGCCAACUAAGUCAGACGUGAAAUCCCUCGGCUUAACCGGGGAACUGCGUCUGAUACUGGAUGGCUCGAGUUUGGGAGAGGGAUGCGGAAUUCCAGGUGUAGCGGUGAAAUGCGUAGAUAUCUGGAGGAACACCGGUGGCGAAGGCGGCAUCCUGGACCAACACUGACGCUGAGGAGCGAAAGCCAGGGGAGCAAACGGGAUUAGAUACCCCGGUAGUCCUGGCCCUAAACGAUGAAUGCUUGGUGUGACGGGUAUCGAUCCCUGUCGUGCCGAAGCU
rnacentral:rRNA from 1 species